GACGAACGCUGGCGGCGUGCUUAACACAUGCAAGUCGAACGAAGUGGCGAACGGGUGAGUAACGCGUAAUCAAACUGCCCUUCAGAGGGGGACAACAGUUGGAAACGACUGCUAAUACCGCAUACUGAAGGAGGGGAUUGCGUCUGAUUAGCUAGUUGGAGGGGUAACGGCCCACCAAGGCGAUGAUCAGUAGCCGUGCUGAGAGGAUGAACGGACACAUUGGGACGGAGACACGGCCCAGACUCCUACUGGUGGCAGCAGGGGGAAAUCUUCCGCAAUGGACGAAAGUCUGACGGAGCAACGCCGCGUGAGGGAUGACGGCCUUCGGGUUGUAAAGCUCUGUUAAUCGGGACGCGGUACCGGAAUAGAAAGCCACGGCUAACUACGUGCCAGCCGCCGCGGUAAUUC
rnacentral:rRNA from 1 species